rnacentral:rRNA from 1 species
GAGUUCCAUGCGGCGCAAGCCUGAUGCAGCCAUGCCGCGUGUGUGAAGAAGGCCUUCGGGUUGUAAAGCACUUUCAGCGAGGAGGAAGGCGAUGAGGUUAAUACCCUUGUCGAUUGACGUUACCCGCAGAAGAAGCACCGGCUAACUCCGUGCCAGCAGCCGCGGUAAUACGGAGGGUGCAAGCGUUAAUCGGAAUUACUGGGCGUAAAGCGCACGCAGGCGGUCUGUUAAGUCGGAUGUGAAAUCCCCGGGCUCAACCUGGGAACUGCAUUCGAAACUGGCAGGCUAGAGUCUUGUAGAGGGGGGUAGAAUUCCAGGUGUAGCGGUGAAAUGCGUAGAGAUCUGGAGGAAUACCGGUGGCGAAGGCGGCCCCCUGGACAAAGACUGACGCUCAGGUGCGAAAGCGUGGGGAGCAAACAGGAUUAGAUACCCAAGUAGUCC